ACAGGCAGAUGGCGAGCGUGGCGACGAGGAUGGCGCGCCAGCGGGGCUUGAGCAUGUCGAUGGCGCCGCGGAGGCCGUUCUUCGAAACCGGCUCAUCAGGGAGUGCGGUGACGUCGUCGCUCAUGAGGCCACCGCCUGGACCUGCCCGAGCACUUCGCGGUAGCGGGGGCAGGUGCGCAUGAGUUCGGCGUGGGUGCCGGUUGCGGCGACUGCUCCCUCGUCCACAAGCACGACCUGGUCGGCGAGGGAG
rnacentral:rRNA from 1 species